GAUGAACGCUAGCGGCGGGCUUAAUACAUGCAAGUCGAGGGGCAGCAUGAGUCUUCGGACUUGAUGGCGACCGGCGGACGGGUGCGUAACGCGUAUGUAACUUGCCAACAACUGAGGGAUAGCCCAGAGAAAUUUGGAUUAAUACCUCAUAAUGCAGGGGUGCCUCCUGGCACUAUUUGCUAAAGAUUUAGGUCGGUUGUUGAUAGACAUGCGUCUGAUUAGGUAGUUGGUGAGGUAACGGCUCACCAAGCCUACGAUCAGUAGGGGUUCUGAGAGGAUAAUCCCCCACACUGGAACUGAGACACGGUCCAGACUCCUACGGGAGGCAGCAGUAAGGAAUCUUGGUCAAUGGACGGAAGUCUGAACCAGCCACGCCGCGUGUAGGAAGAAGGUCCUCAGGAUUGUAAACUACUUUUAUACGGGAAGAAUGGCUCUCAUGCGUGAGAGAGGAGACGGUACCGUAAGAAUAAGGACCGGCUAACUACG
rnacentral:rRNA from 1 species